AAAAUGGCCAAACGAAAGAUGGAAAACGGUUAACUUCCAAGACAGGUCGGAGGCGGAUUAUCUGUUCACUAAUGUACAACGUAAAAGUCUCCAAAACAUCAGAAAAAGUCGCUCGUCAAAUCUGGGAGAAGAAACUGUUAAGAUGGAAAGAUGCCAGGUUUAACAAGAAAGUAGCCAAGUUGACAACACUGAUUCUAUUGGAGAACAAAGAGUGCAGAUGUCAUAGCUGGGUUUCCAGUCUUCUCUGUUCCUUCUGACAACUUCUUCCUGUGGACAGUCCCCAGUGCAGCCUGGACCUGAUGUGCACACACAGUCGUAGCCUCCUGGUAGAUUCACACACACACUAUCAUUCCAGCAGGUGUGCUUCUGCAAGCUGCACUCAUCGAUGUCUAGAAGGCAGACAGAAAGUAAGUCACAGUAGGCCUACAGUACAAAUGCAUAGAUUUUGCUUUACUAACAUAGAAGGUACAAGCAUAUCAGUUAUUACUGAUCACAUAUUAUCAAUGCGCUGCCAAUCUGUUAUACAGCACGAAAAAUAACAAGGCCUAGAAGUGGGACACAUUGUACCCUGCUACUCAUUCAAGAGGAACCAUGCCACGCCACAGCUUCAUCCCUUCUCCAUCAAAAUCCAAAAUUUUUUUUCCAACUUUGUGUUGUUCCAAUUCCAGCAUAUUUUUGCUGUCUAAAACAGGUGAAUAUUCUCUGUCAACCAAUCGAUGAAUGGGAUGGUUUCGAGCUCUAUCCGACCAUGACUGUUUCAUUGGGUUUGGUGUCAUGACGAAGGGUGCUCAAGUGUUACAGUACAACUUGAGUAUUUUGUUGCUUUUUCUAACUUUUGACAAUUAAAAUAUGUUUAGCAUCACAUUGUGAUCUUUGCCUUAUUGAUGUGUAAGCUAUCGCAAGAACACUAAGGUGAGUGCAGAUUUAUAUCAAUGACUGACAUUUUCAUAUUGUGCAGAGCCCCU